GGGAGUGUAGCUCAGUGGUAGAGCACUUGCCCGGCACAAUUGAACAUUUGCUGGGUUCAAUUCCCAGCACUGCAA
rnacentral:tRNA from 1 species